GGUGAUGAGUACAAAAUAUUACUGUACAAUACACGACCACUUAAAAUUGCUUAAAACUAAUGUAAUACAAACACUUCAUUACAAUAUUCCUUAAUUCAACAAGUGAAGCAAAAUAUAAUCAAAGUUCAAUAUACUGUAACCAUGGACCAAAAGUUGAUACUCCGGACUAUUAGCAAUUAAGUUGCUUUAUUUAUUAAAAUGUUGAAAUCAAAUGUUCACACUAUUACGUGAAUAAUUUCAAAACCAAAAUGACGGACAUACUUCGCACGGUGGAUGCAAUCACUGUUGUCGGUGAAAAGUACUGAAGGUAAGAUAUAGAGG